CUCCGUAUAGCUCAAUUGGCUAGAGUACUCCGUUUGGGGCGGAGGGGUUGAAGGUUCGAGUCCUUCUAUGGAGA
rnacentral:tRNA from 1 species